GACGAACCGUGCGAACGUUAUUCGGAAUCACUGGGCUUAAAGCGCGUGUAGGCGGGCCGGCACGUCGGUGCCUGAAAGCCCCCGGCUCAACCGGGGAAGGGGGGACGAUACGACCGGCCUGGAGGGACGUAGGGGGACCUGGAACUUCCGGUGGAGCGGUGAAAUGCGUUGAGAUCGGAAGGAACGCCCGUGGCGAAAGCGAGGUCCUGGACGUCCGCUGACGCUGAGACGCGAAAGCCAGGGGAGCGAACGGG
rnacentral:rRNA from 1 species